rnacentral:rRNA from 1 species
UACGAAGGGGGCUAGCGUUGUUCGGAAUUACUGGGCGUAAAGCGCACGUAGGCGGAUAUUUAAGUCAGGGGUGAAAUCCCAGAGCUCAACUCUGGAACUGCCUUUGAUACUGGGUAUCUUGAGUAUGGAAGAGGUGAGUGGAAUUCCGAGUGUAGAGGUGAAAUUCGUAGAUAUUCGGAGGAACACCAGUGGCGAAGGCGGCUCACUGGUCCAUUACUGACGCUGAGGUGACGAAAGCGUGGGGAGCAAACAGG